GGCUUACACAUGCAAGUCGAGGGGCAUCACGAAUUAGCAAUAGUUUGGUGGCGACCGGCGCACGGGUGCGUAACACGUAUACAACCUACCUUCAAUUGGGGAAUAACCUGGAGAAAUUUGGACUAAUACCCCAUAGUAAACGGAAGAGGCAUCUUUUUUGUUUUAAAGAUUUAUUGAUUGGAGAUGGGUAUGCGUAGGAUUAGCUAGUUGGUAAGGUAACGGCUUACCAAGGCGACGAUCCUUAGGGGUUCUGAGAGGAAGGUCCCCCACACUGGUACUGAGACACGGACCAGACUCCUACGGGAGGCAGCAGUGAGGAAUAUUGGUCAAUGGUCGAGAGACUGAACCAGCCAAGUCGCGUGAAGGAAGACGGCUCUAUGAGUUGUAAACUUCUUUUGUACAGGAGUAAAGUGAGACACGCGUGUUUUAUUGCAAGUACUGUACGAAUAAGCAUCGGCUAACUCCGUGCCAGCAGCCGCGGUAAUACGGAGGAUGCAAGCGUUAUCCGGAUUUAUUGGGUUUAAAGGGUGCGUAGGCGGUAUUACAAGUCAGGGGUGAAAUCUUGGUGCUUAACAUUAAAAUUGCCUUUGAAACUGUGGUACUUGAGUGUAAAAGAGGUAGGCGGAAUGUGUUGUGUAGCGGUGAAAUGCAUAGAUAUAACACAGAACCCCGAUUGCGAAGGCAGCUUACUAUCAUACAACUGACGCUGAUGCACGAAAGCGUGGGGAUCAAACAGGAUUAGAUACCCUGGUAGUCCACGCAGUAAACGAUGAUUACUAGCUGUUAGCGAUAUAUUGUUAGUGGCUAAGCGAAAGCGAUAAGUAAUCUACCUGGGGAGUACGUUCGCAAGAAUGAAACUCAAAGGAAUUGACGGGGGCCCGCACAAGCGGAGGAACAUGUGGUUUAAUUCGAUGAUACGCGAGGAACCUUACCCG
rnacentral:rRNA from 1 species